GAUGAACGCUAGCGGGAGGCCUAACACAUGCAAGCCGAGCGAGCGGCGUACGGGUGCGGAACACGUGUGCAACCUGCCUUUAUCAAGGGGAUAGCCUUUCGAAAGGAAGAUUAAUACCCUAUAGAUAAAGAUGGGCACGCGCAAGAUUAGCUAGUUGGUGAGGUAACGGCUCACCAAGGCGACGAUCUUUAGGGGGCCUGAGAGGGUGAUCCCCCACACUGGUACUGAGACACGGACCAGACUCCUACGGGAGGCAGCAGUGAGGAAUAUUGGACAAUGGGUGCAAGCCUGAUCCAGCCAUCCCGCGUGUAGGAAGACGGCCUAUGGGUUGUAAACUACUUUUAUCUGGGGAUAGGUACCAGAUGAAUAAGCACCGGCUAACUCCGUGCCAGCAGCCGCGGUAAUAC
rnacentral:rRNA from 1 species